rnacentral:rRNA from 1 species
UUGCACAAUGGGCGCAAGCCUGAUGCAGCAACGCCGCGUUCGGGACGAAGGCCUUCGGGUCGUAAACCGCUUUUCUGGGGAAAGAGCAGGGACGGUACUUCAGGAAUAAGUCUCGGCUAACUACGUGCCAGCUGCCGCGGUAAAACGUAGGAGGCGAGCGUUAUCCGGAUUUACUGGGCGUAAAGCGCACGCAGGCGGCUCUGUGAUUCGGACGUGAAAGCGCCCGGCGUAACCGGGAGAGGGCAGUCGAUACUGCGGGGCUUGAGGUAGGGAGAGGAAUGCGGAAUUCCCGGUGUAGCGGUGGAAUGCGUAGAUAUCGGGAGGAACACCUGUGGCGAAAGCGGCAUUCUGGCCCUCAACUGACGCUGAGGUGCGAAAGCGUGGGUAGCAAACAG